AUUGAACGCUGGCGGCAGGCUUAACACAUGCAAGUCGAACGAGUGGCGGACGGGUGAGUAAUGCUUGGGAAUCUAGCUUAUGGAGGGGGAUAACUACGGGAAACUGUAGCUAAUACCGCGUACCAUAGGAUGAGCCCAAGUGGGAUUAGGUAGUUGGUGAGGUAAAGGCUCACCAAGCCGACGAUCUCUAGCUGGUCUGAGAGGAUGACCAGCCACACUGGGACUGAGACACGGCCCAGACUCCUACGGGAGGCAGCAGUGGGGAAUAUUGCGCAAUGGGGGCAACCUGACGCAGCCAUGCCGCGUGAAUGAAGAAGGCCUUCGGGUUGUAAAGGACUUUUGUCAGGGAAGCGGUACCUGAAGAAUAAGCACCGGCUAACUACGUGCCAGCAGCCGCGGUAAUUC
rnacentral:rRNA from 1 species